UCCGGUUUGUCACCGGCAGUCUCCCUAGAGUGCCCUUGCGUAGCAACUAGGGACAAGGGUUGCGCUCGUUGCGGGACUUAACCCAACAUCUCACGACACGAGCUGACGACAGCCAUGCAGCACCUGUGUUACGGCUCUCUUUCGAGCACACCCUCAUUUCUGAAGGCUUCCGUACAUGUCAAGGGUAGGUAAGGUGGGGAUGACGUAGACCUUGGACC
rnacentral:misc_RNA from 1 species